UUCCACUAAACCCUAAAAAUCAGUCGACACAUUCUCUCUUAUUUUCCUUCAUUAAAACACCUUUAAACCUUCAAUUAAUCCCUCCCUCUUCCAAUCCAACACUAGUAAAGUGGUCUAGCAUAUACUUGGAGUUGUCUAAGGUUGUUGAUUGUGCAUUUACUACUCGUUUAGGUCAUAUUAGCUUGAUUAAGUUUCGAUGGGACCCGUAUCUCGUUGAGGCAUAUGCUACCUUGCCUCAGCACUCGGGGAAACAGACAGGGGUGGGGAGUGCUUUUGUGCCACUGAUAUGCUUCAACAUUGUCGAAGUACAUCUACCCGAGCGUGUAAUGCGCCAAUUCGAGAUAUACAGGGCAUCCCACCAUCUGAUGACACUGAGGUAGAAUUGCACCUCACGUCUCGUAAGGGUCAGGCUCCUAAGGACUAAAGCGAGAUCAACAGACGCCAUAUGGCUCGUUGGGAUCACAGGCUGGAGCUGCUAGCUCAAGGUGCUUCAUCGAUUAUACUGGCGCAUCAUCUACCACUGCUGAUUACAUGCCGUGGCUCCUCUCCAUCACUCGGUGAUGGAUGACACUACGAGGUUUUGUAGUUGCGUCCCAGUAUGCUCAUGUCGCGCUAAUGAUGACCCAAUUCGCACAGGGUGUGGCAGCCAUCAUCUAAUCUAGCCAUGAGCAGUCCGUACAAGAGAUUGCGUAGGGCAUGCUUCUUGGCACACAGUUCCAGCACUUCAUACUGGAAAUGGCUGAGGAGGCUUCACCGGCGACCAGCAAGGUCCAAGUCUCGUAUCCUCCUCAUGACGUUCAUUUGGAGGAGGUGGAUUUAUCCUACCCCAAACAUGGUAUGAGGACCUUGCAGGCUGGGCCAUCUCAGUACCAGUCACCACCCCUCCUUGAGCGACACACAAACACAUCCUACUAUUAUAGGAUGCGUAAAAAGCCAUCACAGCUGGAUAGGGUGGAAGAGGGUCUUAGUUUUGUAUAUAUUUUGAUGGACUUAUGUAUUUAUUGAGCGUAUGUAUCAUACUACAAAUUUGUAUAUAUUUGUGUGUGUGUGUGUAUAUAUGUCAAAUGUUAUCAGCUGACAACAUUAUCGAAGAUGAAGACACUAAAAGGCUAUGUUCCUAAUUUCUCACUCGUUGAUUUAAAUUUUCUGCUGGUAUCCUUUCUGUAUGAGGUGACAAUCGAACCCUUAUCACAAGGGUGAAACACUAUGCCUUUAGCUAUUAUACCAACUUAUCAGUAUGGUAUUGAAUAUGAGCUUGUAUAUAUGUUAAAUGCUGUCAGUUGACAACGUUAUCAAAGAUAAAGACACUAAAAGGCUAUGUUCCUAAUUUCUCACUCGUUGAUUUUAAUUUUUUACUGGUAUUCUUUCUAUAUGAGGUGACAAUAGAAACCUUAUCCCAAGGGUGAAAUAUUAUCCCUUCAACUAUUAUACCAACUCCGAAUUCUUAAAUUGACACAUUGUUGAUUUGUUUAUUUUGUUAAAUUUGUGUUGAUUGUUGGUGGUAGAAUAUUAAGAAAUGAUUAGAGUUGGACCUAUUUUAUAUGGAGUAGAACAAUUUAAUUACUUACUUUGUUGCUUUACUGAUAUAUUGUAUGUGGAUUUGAUGAUUAAUUACUAGAUCACCUCUUAGUAUAGCCAGUGGUGGACACAGGAAAAAAAAAAUAAGUGACGUCGAUAAUUUAAACAUAAAACACAAAUUUUAAUUUAGGAUAGUCUUAAUCGUAAGAUAAUUUUAAAUUGGGUUGAAUAGCCCUAAUAAGUUAUUGA